rnacentral:lncRNA from 1 species
UAUCCAUUUGAUCAAAAUGUGACUACAAAAUUUAAUAAUCUGUUAAAUUAUGGAGCCUAAUUAUUGUCACUGUGAUAAGUCAAUACUCGAAUUGAAAUGGAGCCAAUAAUUCCUGCAGAACUUGACAACCAGAGAAGCAGAGCAUCUAUCACAUGAGGAAUAUUCAAAUUAUCAAAAUGCAAUUGCAAAAUUGCACAAUCUUCCUUAAUGAGAUCAUCAUAAUACAUAUCUGUAGACUCAUCCUCUCUGUAGAAGAGGAAGGAGUCAAAAGCAUCUACAUUAAUAGAAUUAUGUAAUCCAGCAAAUUCACUUUUGGAUAACUGAAUGCCACUCCCAGAUCCAAACUGGAACCCAAUGAAAAGUUAGAUAGAGCUUCCUGCUUGAAACUUUGGGGGAUGUAUCAAGAAACAGCCGUAGGGAACUUCAUGAAAUCAGCUCGGGCCGGCUUCAUAAUGAGAACUCCAAAAUAAAAUCAGGGAUUGGUCAACUGCAUAAUCGAAAUCAAUAAUUUAACCUUUACAGGUUAUGUUUCCUUUAUGGAUUCUACAUAGAUAGAUGAAGAUAUGAGAAGAUAGACACAGAAAUUUGCUGUGAAACUAUCUACACAAUUUUAGAGAUGAAUCGCCUUCCGAGUGGUGGUGGUGGUGGUUAGAGUAAUCCACAACGGUGUCGAAUUGCCUACUGGAAAAAUAAGCUGAAGAGACUGGAAAUUGAUUGUGUAAACUGUGGAGAGUGUCUGGUGCACGAUUCUUCCUUUUAAUGUAAUAAGCAUCUAGUUAUAUCACAUUUCGGGUGGCAUUUGUAAUAGCACCAGGGCACUACUGUUGUGACGAUGGCCACCAAUGCCAGGGCCAGCCCUAAGAACUUCGAGGCUCUAAGCAUUUUAACUAUUAUGAGGCCCUUAAACAUAAUCUUUUAACAAGCAUAGUGAUACUUCUAUAUUGGUUUCUACUGCAAUGAUAUUGAUCUCUAUACCAAUUUUUCCUCCUUGGCUCUGCUACUUUCAGUAUCAGAAUACCAAACAAGAAGCCCUGUUACAACUAUAUUUAAGGUAUGUCUAUAGAUAGCACAGUUUCUCCAAAGAUUAGUCAAUCUAAAGUUGGAAGAAUUAUCUAUUUUAUGUGGUUUUAAUAGGUUUAGGGAGCUUCAAUAUUUCAGUAUAAUACAGUGCCAUUUUGAUGAAGACUGAAGAAUAGAUCAUGGUUCUUGAAGAAACGGUAAACAAAUAAAAACAAGGAUAACACCAAGCAAAUGGAUGAACAUUCUCUAAGUACAAAGAAAAGGAGGCCAAAGCAAAGCCAAUCAUCGCCUAAGCAGACAACUGAAUAUAUGCAAAUUUCUGCUCCCUAUACAUGAAUAUUAAAGUUAUGCUUCAUUAUAGCACCUUCACCCACACUAAAGAAGCAAAAACCACAAAUAGUUCAACAUUUACAAACACUUGAAAAAUGCUAAACAGAGGUGAGAACUGAGAAAAAAAUAUGAGUUAAACUUGAAUUAAUUAAAAAAAUGAGUGCUGAAAAACAAAAAAUUCACGAAUUUAACUCAAAU